UUGUUCUCUCACUGAUUCCACUUCUGAUGGAGUAACAUACUCGUCUACAGGCAUUUCUUCAAUGAUCUCAUCAGUUAGAACUUCCUCUUCCGGUUUCUCUAUGACUUUUGUUACAGGUGCCUUGCCUUCCUCUUCAACAGUGACUGUUUCUGUUACUUGUUGCUUUUUACCCUUUCGUCUGAUGACUUUCUUCUUUGUUACUUUGCGAGGUUUGCCUUGUUUGGUAACUUCCUCAGUAACAGUAACCUGUUCUCUUACUGAUUCCACUUCUGAUGGAGUAACAAACUCUUCGAUAGGCAUAUCUUCAAUGAUCUCUUCAGUUAGAACUUCCU